rnacentral:rRNA from 1 species
GACGAACGCUGGCGGCGUGCCUAAUACAUGCAAGUAGAACGCUGAAGGAGGAGCUUGCUUCUCUGGAUGAGUUGCGAACGGGUGAGUAACGCGUAGGUAACCUGCCUGGUAGCGGGGGAUAACUCUUGGAAACGAUAGCUAAUACCGCAUAAUAUUAGAUGUUGCAUGACAUUUGCUUAAAAGGUGCAAUUGCAUCACUACCAGAUGGACCUGCGUUGUGUUAUCUAGUUGGUGGGGUAACGGCUCACCAAGGCGACGAUACAUAGCCGACCUGAGAGGGUGAUCGGGCACACUGGGAAUGGGACACGGCCCAGACUCCUACGGGAGGCAGCAGUAGGGAAUCUUCGGCAAUGGACGGAAGUCUGACCGAGAAACGCCGCGGGAGUGAAGAAGGUUUUCGGAUCGGAAAGGUCGGUUGUAAGAGAAGAAAGAGAGUGAGAGUGGAAAGUUCACACUGUGACGGUAUCUGACCAGAAAGGGACGGCUAACUACGUG